rnacentral:rRNA from 1 species
CUUGAACGCUGGCGGCAUGCCUUACACAUGCAAGUCGAACGGCAGCACGGGGCAACCUGGUGGCGAGUGGCGAACGGGUGAGUAAUGCAUCGGAACGUACCUUUCAGUGGGGGAUAACGUAGCGAAAGUUACGCUAAUACCGCAUAUUCUGUGAGCAGGAAAGCAGGGGAUCGCAAGACCUUGCGCUGAUUGAGCGGCCGAUGUCAGAUUAGCUAGUUGGUGAGGUAAAGGCUCACCAAGGCGAAGAUCUGUAGCGGGUCUGAGAGGAUGAUCCGCCACACUGGGACUUGGACACGGUCCAGACUCCUACGGGAUGCAGCAGUGGGGAAUUUUGGACAAUGGGGGCAACCCUGAUCCAGCCAUGCCGCGUGAGUGAAGAAGGCCUUCGGGUUGUAAAGCUCUUUCGGCCGGGAAGAAAUCGCACGGGCUAAUACCCUGUGUGGAUGACGGUACCGGAAUAAGAAGCACCGGCUAACUACGUGCCAGCAGCCGCGGUAAGAC